ensembl:lncRNA
AAGAUAAUGGUUUCAGAAUCUCACAUGUGACUGCCGCAAAGCUCCCAAACCUGCAUUCGUACUCCCUGGGGGUCGCGCUUUCUUCUCAGACCUGUAGUCCUAAGUUUAUGUGAGUGAAAAAGCUGAAGCCCAGUACCGGAAACACUAAGUAAUGAGAGAGACCCAGACUAUCAGUGCAACCCAGCGGCUCCUGGAAAGCACAAACUACAAAACCUUAACCGGAGUUGAUGAGCGUCUAGCUUUCCAGCUUGUGGCACUGUUUAGGAAAGUUGUGUGGCUUCUGAGAAGGCGGCCUGGCUCCAGCAGAAAAGAUUCCUUUGAUGGGCCUGGCUUGGAAGUUGUUAUCCAAUGACUGAAAAGUUUGCUAAUCCACUCUGUUCCUGGUCCGAGCUCUCAGUCCACAUAGAGUAAGCGAUGAGGUAAGCUUCUGCCAUUGCAAUGGGCAACCAUGCCUUCUCCACCAGGAUGUGGGCCAAAAAUAAUAAAUGAAAUAAAAAUAAAAAAUAA